rnacentral:lncRNA from 1 species
AGUUGACUUCAGCCUCUCUGCUGCUCUCUUCCACUCAUGUGUGCUCAGAGUGAGUUUUCCAGCUCAGCGUUACCAUGAAAUAUAAAACUGCUCCUCCAGUGUUUCAUCCAAACUAUUCCUAACAUGUGGGAUUGCUUCAUUUUAUCAGGUAGGAAUGUUCAGCUGAUGAAUGUGGAAGCAGAGAUUGUGAGAACAUCGUCGUCAGAUCUGAGGAUCACAUGAUCAACAUUAACACAGGAAACAACAAGGGAUUUAAACAACUGAUCUCCAUGUGAAACAAAUGCUUUGACUGAGGACAGAGGAAGGCUGUGGGUCAUCA